CCUACGGGUGGCAGCAGUGAGGAAUAUUGGUCAAUGGCCGUAAGGCUGAACCAGCCAAGUAGCGUGAGGGAAGACUGCCCUAUGGGUUGUAAACUUCUUUUAUAAAGGAAUAAAACGAGGCACGUGUGCUUUUUUGCAUGUACUUUAUGAAUAAGGAUCGGCUAACUCCGUGCCAGCAGCCGCGGUAAUACGGAGGAUCCGAGCGUUAUCCGGAUUUAUUGGGUUUAAAGGGAGCGUAGAUGGGUUGUUAAGUCAGUUGUGAAAGUUUGCGGCUCAACCGUAAAAUUGCAAUUGAUACUGGCAGUCUUGAGUACAGUUGAGGUAGGCGGAAUUCGUGGUGUAGCGGUGAAAUGCUUAGAUAUCACGAAGAACCCCGAUUGCGAAGGCAGCUUACUAAACUGUGACUGACAUUGAUGCUCGAAAGUGUGGGUAUCAAACAGGAUUAGAUACCCCUUGUAGUC
rnacentral:rRNA from 1 species